AUUGAACGCUGGCGGCAUGCCUUACACAUGCAAGUCGAACGGCAGCACGGGAGCAAUCCUGGUGGCGAGUGGCGAACGGGUGAGUAAUAUAUCGGAACGUGCCCAGUCGUGGGGGAUAACGUAGCGAAAGCUACGCUAAUACCGCAUACGAUCCAUGGAUGAAAGCGGGGGAUCGCAAGACCUCGCGCGAUUGGAGCGGCCGAUAUCAGAUUAGCUAGUUGGUGGGGUAAAAGCCCACCAAGGCGACGAUCUGUAGCUGGUCUGAGAGGACGACCAGCCACACUGGAACGGGGACACGGUCCAGACUCCUACGGGAGGCAGCAGUGGGGAAUUUUGGACAAUGGGCGAAAGCCUGAUCCAGCAAUGCCGCGUGCAGGACGAAGGCCUUCGGGUUGUAAACUGCUUUUGUACGGAGCGAAACGGUCCUCUCUAAUACAGGGGGCUAAUGACGGUACCGUAAGAAUAAGCACCGGCUAACUACGUGCCAGCCGCCGCCGUAA
rnacentral:rRNA from 1 species